rnacentral:lncRNA from 1 species
GAGUCCAGAGGAGGCUCCUGCCGAGGUGACUGUCAACUGGCCAGAGGUAGAGGAGGUGAGGGCUGGUCUGGCCGGGUGAGUCAGUUGGCUUUGGUUGUGGCUGCCCUCUGCCGGGUUUGGUUCCCAGGGUGGCGUGUGGGGUUGGUCUCAGCUCAGUGUCCCCAGGGGACCCCUCCUCUGGCCCACACCCACGGCUCGCCCCCUCCCCAGGCCCUGGUGCGCCUGCAGCUCUGGGCGAAUGUGGACGUGCUGCUGGUGGCCUCCUGGCAGGAGCUGAGUCAGCACGUGUGCGCCGUCACCAAAGCCCUCGCCCAGCGCCCCUUCAAGCAGUCCCAGGAGUCGCAGGCCUUUAACUUCUGCACAGCAGGGCGCUGGGCAGCGGGCAAGCCAUUGACGGGAGACAAUGGCGCAGGGCUACGGAGGGCCUGGUGGAGGCAGAUCAGGCAGUUUAACCGGGUCAGCCCAGCCGUGGCCGACGCUGUUGUCACUGCCUUCCCCUCCCCCCGCCUCCUGCAGCAGGCACUCGCGGCCUGCAGCUCGGAGCAGGAGCGCAGGGGUAUCCUGGCGGACCUCCCCGUGAAGGCCAAUGACGGCCGGCGGCCCCGCAGGGUGGGGCCCGACCUCUCCCGCCGAGUGUACCUCUUUCUGACCACCACCAACCCCGACCUCCUGCUGGACCUGGGCUCCUGACCACGGCUUCGGGACCCAGCGGAGGCCUCCUGCCUGCCAGCGGGACAGCACGUGGCCCCAGGGAUUGACCAGACACCUUUGGCCCAACAAGUACUGUCACCCUGGAGUGGGCUCCCAGCCUCUGAUCUCAGGGGAAGGGCAAGGGGUGGCAGGGAACAUUUUUGGAUAACAGAGCUGAACAGAACAGGAAGUUCUUUC